UACGUAGGGUGCAAGCGUUGUCCGGAAUUAUUGGGCGUAAAGAGCUUGUAGGCGGUUUGUCGCGUCUGCUGUGAAAGUCCGGGGCUCAACUCCGGAUCUGCGGUGGGUACGGGCAGACUAGAGUGAUGUAGGGGGAGACUGGAAUUCCGGGUGUAGCGGUGGAAUGCGUAGAGAUCCGGAAGAACACCGGUGGCGAAGGCGGCCCGCUGGGCAGAGACUGACGCUGAGGCGCGACAGCGUGGGGAGCAAACAAG
rnacentral:rRNA from 1 species